CUGCCACCUGCUCUGUAUUAAUGCAUAAUUCCUUAUGUCAUUUCUGGAACUCUUCCAACAGUUAUGGGUCACAAUGACAAUAUGCCACUCCAUUGGCUGAGCACUUGUUUGCAACAAUGAGCUACACAUGUUGGCCAAUACUGCCACAAUUUAACGCUUCUGUUCCUCUUGUCACAUCUGAAUGGGUGGCAUCUGGUCCAAAUUUUGGGUCCCUUUGAGGAUGCGUGAUAGGUAACUCUCAUCUGGAUAGCAGAGACACUUGACCAGCCAAUUACGUAUUCUGGAAUCCAGGAAGUUUAUGUAGGGAGCUUAAACGGAAGAUGCGUCUGAGAAACUCCCAUCAAGAGCACAUCCCAGCUUUUCAACGAUUGUAUAAGCCAGCGUUUGUUAAGUGCUUCCUCUGUCCCAGGCACUCUUUCAAGUGUUUUACGUGUAGUAACUCUUUUCAUAUAUGACCAUCUUAUGAAGCAUGUACAGCAUUACCACCAGCGCCUCCUCUACCUCAUUGCUCACCCGCCUCUCUGACCCCUGCACAAAUCUCUGUCCAGCAGUCUCACUGGAUGUAAGAAGAAAGGCACAACUGUGGAACAGUGGGGUAGGAUGAGGAAGCAGCAUUCUGGCUGUCUCCAGA
rnacentral:lncRNA from 1 species